UCCUACGGGAGGCAGCAGUAAGGAAUAUUGGUCAAUGGACGAAAGUCUGAACCAGCCAUGCCGCGUGGAGGAUGAAGGUCCUCUGGAUUGUAAACUUCUUUUAUAUGGGACGAAAAAAGGGUUUUCUAACUCGUCUGACGGUACCAUAUGAAUAAGCACCGGCUAACUCCGUGCCAGCAGCCGCGGUAAUACGGAGGGUGCAAGCGUUAUCCGGAUUCACUGGGUUUAAAGGGUGCGUAGGUGGGUUGGUAAGUCAGUGGUGAAAUCCCCGAGCUUAACUUGGGAACUGCCAUUGAUACUAUCAGUCUUGAAUACCGUGGAGGUCAGCGGAAUAUGUCAUGUAGCGGUGAAAUGCUUAGAUAUGACAUAGAACACCAAUUGCGAAGGCAGCUGGCUACCCGAAUAUGACACUGAGCACGAAGAU
rnacentral:rRNA from 1 species